UUUUUUUUUUUUUUUUUUCAUUCUACACUUGAACUUGACACCUAAUGUACAAUUUAACAUGGUUAGUGAUAACUUAAGUUUUUAAAAUACAUUCACCAACAUAACUAAAUUUAAGUUGAGAUAAUAACAAAUUUCCUAAAAGUUACACAUAAAACUUGGAAUGAUAAACAUAAUUAAAAUAUCAUAAUUCACCACAAGUUUUCAUAAAUUCAUUACAAAUAUGAAUAGAUACAAUCCAAAUAUUCACCAAUUAUCACAAAUAAAAACACAAAAAUAAAUAAAAUAAAUAUUGAAAUUCUUUUACAAUUCUUAAAAAAGUCCAUAAAAGAGUCUAACUCGUAUUCAAAACAAAUCAUUUGAAUAACAAAUUUCCAUCAAUGGCAUGAUAAGCAACAACACCACCUUCACAAUUUCAUCAACUUAACUUGAAAAAAUUAAAAUUUUAUUAUAAAAAUAUAAAUCUAAUUGCUCAAACUAAAAAGAAAUCAAAAAAUUUUAAAAAACAAAGAUACAACUAAACAUAUAAAAAAUUAAUUGGUACUAAACAUGUGGUCCUGAGGUUACCAUUUAGGAAUUUUCCAAGACAUACAAACAUGCGGUCCAUUUGGCACUUUUUUUUAAGCUUUUGUUUGACAACUUUCCCAAAUCAACUUUAACAUGUCUUUAAUUUUGUUGCUUUAGUGAAACCUAUAAAAUUCAAGAUGAAUGAGCAUUCAGUAGACUAAUUAGUUUAGCAUAGAAAAAGCAAUAAAAACACAAUAAAUGGCAUAGAAAAAAUAGAACAAUCAUUGAUACAAAAUUUAUUAAUUUGAUACUUCAUCCAUGUCUAAUUUCUUUAAUUUGAUACUUCAUCCAAAAAAAUAGCUUCUCCAAAUAUGAUUGGAAAUUAAUUAAUGAUUCAUAAUUUCAUCCUUAAUUAAUCAAAUAAAAAUAAAACAAAAAUUAGGGGAAACAGAUGAAAAUUGGAGAAAAAAAAGAAGAAAAUGCAAAAAAAAAAAUCGGCUAAAGAUAAUAAUAUAGAAAACAAAAACCUUGAAAAAGGAAAAAUUAAACUUACCAAGAUGAUGGAAAACAGGAAAAACUCUUGAGUCUCAAAUAUCCUGUGAAAGUUGAAAUUUCCAACUUGUCUACAAUCUGCAAAAGAUGAUAGUGAUAAAGGUGAAGGCUUGAGAAAAUUUUGUUGUGGAUAUUUGGGUUUGAAAGGGUUAAGAAGAAAAAAUUGAAAAAAAAAAUUCAAGAGGAGAACUGGAGCUGUUGGCCGCCUAAAGCUGAGAAAGUGAUAGAUUGAGACUUGAAAGAAAAGUGUGUUGACUGUUUCUUUUUUAAUGUUAGGGUUUGAUUUUUUUAAUUUAUAUUUUAGUCAAGUUAAGUAGAACUCUCAACAAACUAAGCUGUGGUCUAGUGGUGAAGAGUGCCUUAUGGGAACAAAAAGACUGAGGUUCAAACUUCCGUAGCUACAUUCUUGACAUUUUGUUUGAAAAUUAGAAAACCACGGGGUUACGGUUCGUGCGGUUUUUAGCAGUUCAUACGAUUCGACUGAUUUCUAGUAGUUUUUCAUUAACUUCCAGAUUUAAUACUGGACCGGACCGGUGAUAUGUCCGGUUCGCGAUCCAACCGAUUGAACCGGCCGAUCCGGUCUAGUUCUGAAAACAUUGAUGAAUAGAUGAAUAUACAAGGUUGCCCAGGACAUUCCCACGAGGACUUUCUUUAUUUGGGUCGACCUUUUGCACAUGCAAGUUUUCCUCUCCUAUGUGAGAGUUGUAUAUGUUUGUGUCUAUGUAUAUAGACAAACACACAUACAUAUACAUAUAUAUAUAUAUAUUAAAAUUUAUAAAAUAAUCCAAUAUUCUAUGUCAUUGUAAUCGAUACAAACUUUUUUAGGGAAAGGAAAACCGCCGGGUUACGAUUCAUGCGGUUUUUAGCGCUUCAUACGGUUCGACCGGUUUCUAGUGAUUUUUCAUUAACUUCCGGAUUUAAUACUGGAUUGGACCGGUGGUAUGUCCGAUUCACAGUCCAACCGGUCGAACCGACCGAUCCGGUCUGGUUCUAAAAACUUUGAUGAAUAGAUGAAUAUACAAGGUUGCCCAAGACAUUCUCAUGAGGGCUUUCUUUAUUUGGGUCGACCUUUUGCACAUGCAAGUUUUCCUCUGCUAUGUGAGAGUUGUAUAUGUUUGUGUCUAUAUCUCCUAUGUGAGAGUUGUAUAUGUUUGUGUCUAUAUAUAUAUAUAUAUAUAUAAACACACACAUAUACAUAUACAUAUACAUAUAUAUAUAUAUUAAAAUUUAUAAAAUAAUCCAAUAUUCUAUGUCAUUGUAAUUGAUACAAACUUUUUUAGGGAAAGGAAAAAAUGAAAAGCAAACAAAUGAAAGAUUGAAUGUACAUGUAGAUAAAACUUUGAAAAUAAGUAAUUUUAGUUGAUAAUAGUUCUUUUUUUGAGUUUAUAAUAUUGCAUUCAAAAUCUUGAAUGUUAAUUUUACCAUUUAAAAAUAAAAAAUAGAUGGUAUUUAUGCUAUUUUUGAAUUCUACUAGUUUUUCAGGCCCUGACGCCAUGCGUUAGAUAGCCUGGAUUGGUCUUUUUGCUGCUGUGGUAUAUUUUUUUGUUAGUGUUGUGUGCGUGCGUGUGUGUGUGUUUGUGUUUUUUUUUUUUUUUUUCACAUAGUUAACAGAUGUUUGGUUGGGUUGUACAAUGUGAAGUAUGACUGGGUAUAUAUAUAUAUAUAUAUAUAUAUAUAUAUAUUUUGGGAGGGGGCUUUAGCUAUCACUUCUUGCCUUCUUGGUACAAGCGUACGAUGCGUGCGAAGGUAAUAUGAAUUUACCUAACCCAAGGAUAUAAUGUGCAAUGUAUUAAGAAAAAUAUCAUUUAAAUAUAUUAUAUAAUGUGCACCGAAAUUUGCUUAAACCUGUGAUAUAAUGUAAACUUUCUACACCAAAAUUUAGCCCAGGAGAUUGAACCCAGGAGAUUGAGAGAUUUGCAUGUUUAUGUUUAAAACUAAAUCAUAAAUAUCACAUAGCAAUAAAAUGGGAACAGUUUAUAACAGCUAUAGUGAGCUUUUGUUUAAAAAAUGCUCAUUCUGCUCUGAUAGGAAAAGUGAUAGCUUGGUUAAAAAUGUAAGUAGAUAUGCUCUAGGCACAUAUGGUGAUGAGGAAUGGAACAAUCCUUGUGAUCUAACACUUUUGUAUAGCCUUUUAGGAGCCUUUGCUCACCAAAUGUAAAGCAUUAAAUCAUUAAUACAAUUCCUACCGUUUCUGAAAAAAUAUGUAUAUACAUAACAGCUAUAGUGGGCUAGCAUAUACUAUAUUAAUCUUGUACACAAAACUAAAGCAAAAGUAAACGGCAAUUAUAAUAGUAUAGCCAACCAAUUCAUUUAGGUUCAAAAUAAACGCUAAUGACUCCUGAGAAUUUUUCUCAAUCCAUCCAGCGUAAUUACACGAGCCUUUGGUGACGUUGAGUAUGUAAUCCAACUGAACUUUUGCAUUCUCUCUGUAUUCACAAACAAAAAAUAAAAUAUCAUUGACCAACUAAUCUUUUGUUACAGUUUACAAAAAAAAAAUAUUAUCAGGAAGCAUAAGUAAACAUCUUAUAACAAGAUUGGCUGUGAAUCAAUCAGUUGACCAUAGAACAAGAUGGAGGAAGUUAAGAAUGUAGCAACUACUUAAUGUCUCAUAGCACAAGAAUGUAGCAAACAUGGACAGGGGGGGUGUCAAAGCAAUUUCUUAUGAGGGACAUGUAGACUACUUUGGCAUCCACUACAGACGAAAAAAGCUUUGAAAGAGCAAAGCAUGCACAUAAUCCUGUAGAAUUGAAAGAGCUGUGAGAUGAACAGACAUUCAAGCUGAAUGUAGUACCUUGUCAAAAUAUGGCUGAAACUUGCCUCUGCAGAAAUUAGAUAGUGUCCACGUGGCAUUUCGCAACAAUGAUAGUUUGCAUGCUCAUUUAGCUAAGCCAACAAAGGACCUAGAGCUCCAUGACCAGGAACAAGAUCACGGCAUUUUGGGGAAUCACCAACCACGUUUCACGGAGCCCAUACAGCCUAAUGUAGUUAAAAGAAAAUUAAGGAAUAAGAGAUAAAUAACAAUAAAAUUCAAUUAUAUCAUGCAACAUUCAAAAUCCAGAAAGCAAUGCAAGGCAUUGAACAUGAUUCCAAACACCAGAAGAGGAAAUUUCUUUAUCAUCCAUCAAAGAUGUACCUGUUCACGGGCAUCAUUGCUGGGAGAACUAAGAAGCUGUGCGAAUAUGGGAACAACACCAUUGUCUAUUACAACCUUAGUGUGCAUAGAUGUCCCGGAAGCAAUGUUUGUGAGAGCCCAAGCUGCCUCAAACUACAAAUUUGCAAAGGAUGGAAAAAGACAUUUAUACGUAACACCAAACAAAUAUAAUCUUCAUUUUGUACGCAGGAUGGGGAAUAAUGAGCUUGAAGCUGAAGUUGAGGAAAUCCUCCGUAAUAAGAUAAUGAACAAAACGAGGGACAACACCAGCUUGGAUCACUUCCUGAAUCGGCGGACUUUGUUCAGGUAUCAGGAUUAAUAGCAAUACCUAUAUAUGCUAUAUCCCCUUUUGUAUUGAGAAAGAUUUUUCCAUGAAGACCUGAGUGUACAAAGUGAAACCAACAGAGAAGUAAUUAGGAAGUUCAGCUAGUUAUCUAUCAAAAUUUGAACAAAGGAAAAUGCCCUAUAAUAAAUGUUCCGUAUGGUCUCCCAGCAACACUAUAGAUACAUUCCCAUAUUUCAAUAGACAGACUUCCCACAAAUAUCAAUAGCUAGAUAGAGACAAAAAAGCAUUCCAGAAAGGAUGAUACUAUGAAUGUAACUUGUACCUCAUCUGAGGAGUUUGAGCGAAGCCACUAUUGAGCUGAAUAACACCCCACUUGGAAGUAUCGAAGAUACUGGAGAUGAGUUUUACUUAAAUUCUUAGAUAAUACAAGAAAUUUGUUAGGAACCUUAAAACUAAGUAAACCGUAAUUCUAGUGAUCAAAAUUGAAAAAAAUUAGGCCAAACCCAUGACUGAAGCUUUCUAUUAAAUCAUAUUGAAAAGAAUAAAAAAAAACUGGAAAUAAAAUAAAUAAUCCAGACAUAACAAAGGUCACGGUACAAAUCAAUUUCAUCCCUAAACAAUAAGACGGCUAUUAAGUUUAAUCAACUGUAGCUAUGGUUGGGUUUCAAACUUGGCAAAAUUUUUAGGACAAAAAACAGGCUAGGAAGGAAAUAAGCUAAAGCCUCAAAAAUUAACUUCACCUAGUGCCAGAAAAAUAUUUUUACCCACCUUCAAGCAGCUCUCAUAAGAGAGGAUUGGCAGAGGGUUUGGAAAAGUGUGUAGAGCAACUUAGAGAGAGCAGCAAGAAAAAGCAAAGCUAUCCGGUUGAUUCUUUCAUGCGCGCCUUGAGAGUGUUCAACUGGAAUGCGUCAUCUCUCAGUAGGUGAUUGAAAGGGCGGCGAUGUGUAGGAUGAAGCAGAGACGGAGAGAUGGAGAAAACCGAGCAAUUGUAUCAGUGAACUUCGAUGGUGAGAGAACAGGGCACAACUCAGUAUAACGAAAAGAGAAAAUUGCUGACCGAGAAUGAGAGAAAAUUGCUGACCGCCACUGGCCAGAGAAAGCUAAGAAGAAGAAUGAGGAAUUGAAGCGGUGCUCCCAAAACCAAGAACAGGCCAAGAAUGAGAAAAAAAGCAUGAGAGCCACGCGGAUGAGAAGAAAGGAAUGAGAGCCACGCAGACACACGGGAAAUUCCAGCGCAGCCACUACCACCGAAUGACAAAGGACCAAAACGCUCCUCAAAGCCACAAAAAUAUGACCAAAACACCCCUCAAAGCCACGAGAAUCACGCGAUAACCGGCUCAUCCUGCACUAUUCAUUAGGCUUUGCACGCUUUAUAUACGUAAGAUAAGAUAUAUUUUCAAAAUAUUUUUAUUUUAGUUCUUCAUUUUAUGUUUAGAAAAAAAAAUAUGUUCAAAAUACUUUUGUUUUGGUUCUUCAUUGUAUGUUCAAAAUAUAUUUGUACGCCCUAUACUCAUAAGGUGUGCCUCUUCCACUAAUAAGAAAUAGGUAUGUCAAUUGGUCGACUUUUACAAUAUACUUUGGUAGGAUUUUAUUUUAAUUUGUCAAAUCUAAAUCCAGACCCUAUAAGAGAGUGAUGAGUCUAGGUAAGAUUUGAUUUUCUAUAAUUUAAACCAAAAUUUAGAUCCAGAUCAGACUCUAUUCAGAUUCAUGUAUAAAUAAAUUAUGUGUGUGUAUAUAUAUAUAUUAGUAAAUUCAUAAAAUAAUCUAAUAUUCUAUAUCAUUUAGAUGAAACUUUGAGAAUAAAUAGUUUUAGUUUAUAAUAGUUCUUUUUUGAGUCUAUAAUAUUGCAUUCAACAUCUUGAAUGUUAAUUUUACUAUUUGAAAAUAAAAUUUAAAUGGCAUUUAUGUUAUUUUUUAACUCUAUAUAUUUUCAAAAUAUUUUUAUUUUAGUUCUUAUUGUAUGUUCAAAAAAAUAUUCACAGGUACCAAUUGGAUACUCAAAUUCAUAAGGGUCUGAGUUUUAAUUUACUUUUUCAAACCCACAAAGAUCUGAGUAUAAAUCAGGAUCUAGAUCUGAGUUUGACUAAAUUUAAUGGGUCUAAAUUUCGGUCAAAGAUAUCCAAUUCAAACCUUAUCCAUUGAUAUAUCUUAUAAGCAGUGUUUUCAAACUCAAAUCGGACUAAUUGGUUCAACCGAUUGAACCGAGAAUUGGGAAGGAUUCUGGUCCGAAAGUAUAUGAAAAACCGGCUAUCCAAAGAUUCGAUAAAAAAUGAGGUUUAACCGGUAGAAGCUGAAAAAACUGGUUCUUAAAAAUCCUUUAUCUUGUGUUUCUCCCAAAAAAAAAGAAACCUUCUUUUCUCCAAAAUUUCAAGCCAUUCAACAUCUGGUAGGGAAGAGGCCAAGGUGGUGAAGUUGCUAUCAUUUUCAAAUCUGAGCACCUAAACAAUGCUUAAAAAGAAAAAUAGAAGGAGAAGACGAAGAAAAAGAGAACAUCCAGUGACAUGGAUCCAAACUAAAUUAAUAAAAAGAGCACAUUCAGCGACAUGGCACAGCUAGGCAUGGCGAAUCUGUACUUGAUCUCAUCUCAUAUUGAGUCAGCUAGUUGUUUUGACUUUUGCCUCCAUGAUUGUAGGUUGAGGCAAUGGACGCUUGCGUUGUUGGUGAUUCUGGAUCAUGCCCUUGCUCAACUGACAGAGUAUGACAGCUUGAAGAAGUCCACAACUUGAGAAUUAGAGAUGAACGCUCAAAGUUUCAUAGUACUUCACUUUUACCCCAAAUGUUUUGGAUAGUCAUAAUUUUUGCCAUAACGUUCUCUAUUAUUUGUUUGCAACCUUAAUUCGGUAUCUGACUUCAAGUAAGUUAUAAGGAUUUAAUUUGUGCGGCUUUAUUAUUUGUAUUAUUUGUAAACUCACCAAGUAUAUCAAGUCUAGAGAUAUUUAUUUUGUACUAUUUUAUUUUUAUAUAUCAUUAAAUACAUUUAUGGCAUCAUUAUAAUUUAUGAUAUCAAAAACAUAUUUUUAAUCCACCUUUUUAUAUUUCGAAUCAAUUUUUUAUGUCAUGUAUAUCAUAUCACAAAAAAAUAUUAAUAUAAUAUUCCCUUCAUUCCAUUAAAAGUGUCGUACUUUUCAUUUUGAGAUGUCCUAAAAUAUUUGUCAUGUUGAAAAAGUUAAUGCACAUUUUAGUCUCUCUUUCUAAUAGAGUUUUUCUUUCUAAUCAUAUGCAUGUUAUUAUUCAAUUUGAAUUUUAAAUUUUGAGGAUAAAAUUAAAAAAAGAAAUAUAAAUAUUACAAUCAAAUUACUAUUUUUAAAAGAUUAAAUGUUCUAAAUAUGACUAAUUAAUUAGAACGAAGAGAAUAGUAAUUAUUUUAAAUAAUAUUCUAUCGAACUAUUCACGUAGCAAAUAAGUAAUAACCAUAAUCACUAAAAAAAAAAAAAAUACGGAUGUACUUUUAAUUGACCAGAAACAAAAGCACGAAAUGCAGAGCAGAGAGGAGGGGGUUGACCAAAAAGAGCGAAGUUGGGCCAUUAGAUGAUGAAUAAUGCAUUAAUGAUGGGGGCUGGAGCUUCUUCCGCCGCCGCCGCCCCUGCUGCUGCUGCUGCUAUUUACUACAGUGAAGACAUUAGGUAUUCGUUCAACACCCUUGAGCCAUUGAAUCUCUUCAGCGGAAACAGCAAACAGGUGCUCUUUCUUUUUGCCCUUUAUUGCUUUAGGAAAUUAGUUUUUAGCUGAAAUCUCUUUAGCAAAUUAGAUCGUCUUGUUCCAGAUCAUCUUCCAUUUGGUGUGAUAACAUUAUUAUUAAAUACUGGAGAAGGCUGUUGAAACCACCCCAGAUGAUCAUGAUGAUGGUGAUGGUGAUGGUGAUGAUAGUCAAGUUAAUAGAAUCAGUGCCAUUCCGGACGAACUUCUUUCCCACAUCUUAUCAUUUCUACCAACAAGAGAAUCAGCGGUUACCUCACUUUUGUCCACUCGAUGGAGACACCUUUUUGCUUCACGCCCUGAGAUCGAUCUCGAAUUCCAUCCCGAACGUAACCAUUCUGACCCUGAGAUCGAUCUCGAAUUCCAUCCUGAACCUGAACGUACCCAUUCUGACGCUGAUAUCGAUCUCGGAUUCCAUCCUGAACGUAACCGUAACCAAGCUGAUAAGCUGUUUUCUGAGUUCGUAAAUUUUGGCAAUAGACUAAUUUUGCUACGAAACAGGGCUCCAUUAAGGAAAUUUAAGCUCUCCCUUAUGAGGGUUGUGGAAAGCUAUCGUGGGGCACUCGAUUCACUGAUAUCUGCUGCACUUUUGUGUCAACUUCAAGAACUCGAAAUUUCUGUGGACAACCGGAGUAGUUAUAGGGAACGAUUAUCACCGGAGGGAAUAUUCACCUGCAAAACACUGACUUCCUUGAGACUAGUGUGGCGCCGUGUGGAUUUCAAAGUCCCCAGUCCAGUUUGUUUGCCUAAUGUUAAGCUCUUGUGCUUGAUAGGACCGAUGUUUCAAUUAGGAGAUCAUGAUGAUUCCCUGCAGAGGCUUAUCCAGGGUUGUCCUUUGCUUCAAGAACUAGAGCUGCAUUGUGCACUGGGGGAUUUGGAUCAAAUUUUUGCUGAGGAUGCAUGUAUGCAAAUUGAAAUUCGUGAUAUUUCUAGUCCUUUCCUGAAGAAAGUAGUGCUGCAUUUAGAUGGAGGUCUGGAUACUAAGGUUGUAGUGGAGUCGAACAAUCUUGAGAGUUUGGAAUACCAUUUCGUAGGUGCGGAGUAUAAGAUAAGCAUAAAUGCUCCAAAUCUUAAAUACCUUGGUUGUGGAGGCGACAUAAAUGGAGUAAGCUUUAUUCAAGACCUGAAUUCUCUUGUUAGUGCCAAAAUUGGCUCCCUCCUUGAAAUCCCUAAUUCUGAGAUUUUUUACAAUCUUGUCAACCAGGUGAAAAGUGUGGAAUCACUUACUCUAAUACAGCCCAAGGUUCUAACGGUAUGAUUUUUGUUUUGAACUUUAAUAUUUCUCUCCGACUUUGAAAGCUUUUCCUUCCUUUUGAGUUGUCUUAAGAGUAAUUGGACGAUCAUACUUCCAAGUUCGUACGUGAGUUUUGAUUAUUUUUCUCAUGCACAUGAAGGUCGAUAUUUCCAAUUAUGUGAUGCCAACUUUCAGCAAUUUGAUCAGCCUGGAGUUCAUUCUCCUCAAUUACCAUGCUGUUGAAUCCUGGAAACUCAUGCCAAUCUUAAUUAAAAGUGCCCCUCACCUCGAAAAGCUAGUCUUCGGUCGAAAGAUGUUUCGCGCUGAGCGUGUGGAAAAAGAAUUUGAGCUUCUAUUUCCAGAAUUCAUGCCGAAAUACUCCAUUGAACAUCUCAAGGAAAUAGAAUUCACAAAAUUUGACGAGAAGCGCUAUGAAUUCAAGCUAGUUGAGUAUCUUUUGCAAAAUGGAAAAGCUUUGAAGAAGAUGGUGCUACGUGGAUCUUUGCAACCCUCUAGCUAUGAUAGAAUAAUGUCAUACAUGAGAUGCUCAGAGGAUUGUCAAAUUGUGGUAGAAGAACGUGGUUCAGAGGAAAUCUGGUGGAUGCUAACAGUUGACUUAUAAAUGAUAUCUGUUUCAGUCAUGCAGGGAAGUCGUGGGAAAAUGAAGUAACAAAAUCAUCUGCUAUGUACAUUUGCUUUUUGUUGUAUGCAUAAAGGAUCAGAAUUCCCUGUUGUUCAUGUCUUUUGUUGCUUGAAUUGAUUUGUUCUUUUUACUACGAAGGAGUGGAUUUGGGAUGGGAAUUUGCAGGAGUGGAGGUGUUCAGCUGAUGCUUUUCAUGCAAAAGUUAGAUAUGCAUGCAUAUUAUGAUGAUGUAGAAGUUGUCAGGUAAGUCAAUGGAAGGGCUUCUACACCUCUCAAAAGAUCACUGCGUGAAUCGUACAAUGAAGGAAAACAGAUAUGAAACUGCUAAUCUUGCUAAUUGACUAAAAUGAACAUCAAAAAUUAUAUGGAAAACAUUUCAAUGAUGGAAAGCAGCACGAGUAAAAACCAUUAUACCUAUGCAAUAUUCAGAAACAUGCCGCUACUAAUAUUGCAGCAUGAACCAGUUUCAACCAGUGAAUGUACAUACAAUACCCAUAUAUCGAUGCCUGAGUUCGUACUUACCGCUGUUUAUUGGAUGAAAAAGCACAGCUGAGAAUAGACCUAAGAGAUUAGCACGCUGCAACACAGAUUACCAGCAAUGUCUUGGACAAACCUACACAAUGUAACAGCCUUUUAAUUUCUAUAUAUGCACCCAUCUAGCAAACUAGGUGUGGUUUAGGCAAACUUCAGAUACUACUUCCUCGAUUAUAAGCAUAGGACCUUGCAAAAUAUACAUAAGCAGCUAAUGCAAUAGCGCUAAGUCCGGCAAGCAGCCAGUAAAAGUAAUCCAGGUGUGCCUUGUUCAAGUUGUCUGAGAACCAGCUCUCGUGUCCAUGCCUGCUUGUGGCUUUCUCAAUAACAGAGAUGAGAAAGCUGCUUAGAAAACUUCCUAUCCCUAAGAUACUGAGGUAUAGAGCCAGACCUGUGCUUUUCAAUUGAUUCGGCAUUUGAUCGUAGAAAAGUUCUUGCAAACCAACCAUGGAAAGUGCUUCAGAAACUCCAUAAAUCAAAUACUGAGGUAUCAACCAGACCACACUCAUGGGAAUCGUAGCCUUUGGCUUAUCAACCAAACCGUACUCUUGAGCAGUUUCAAGACGCUUCAUCUCUACUAGAGCAGCUAUGACCAUUGAAAGAAUCGAGGUAAAUAUCCCAGCUCCAAUCCGUUGGAGCAUAGUUAUACCUGAAGGUUUUGUGGUUAUAGCUCUUGCAGUAGGAACCAAAAUACGAUCAUAUAUAGGGAUAAACAGAAUUAUCGAAAGAGUGAUAAAUGAUCGUAGUGAAGCGGCUGGUACUUCAAAGCUUGGACUGAUAGAUCUGUCCAUUGUACCUCCUUGCUUGAUAAACAAAGUGGAUGACUGUGAAAAUACAAUCCCAUAUGUCAAACAUGUUGCCCAUAUCGGAAAUAGCCUGAGAAUUGCCUUUGCAUCCUCAACCUCGCUGAUGCUACAAAUGUUCCCAUCUUCCUCUGAACCAUCAGGUACUAGCAAUGCUUUGUUCAGAAACCUACGUCGAUUGCAAUAAAAAAAAAAACUAAAACAUUUAAAGGAAGAAAAUUUGGUUUGAGAUUUGUUAUCAUAAAGAUCAAGGAUACAGUUCAAGAAGUCAGUGAAGCAUGAUCUAGCAACAUUAUCCCAUUCAAACAAGUUCAUUAAUUUGCAAAGUGGAAACAACCUUACACAUUUUUCUAUUUGCCAAUCUUUGGAAAACACAAGAAAUUAGCAACCAGAUCGCAGGGGAGAGGAGGAAGGGAGGGGAUGGGAGAGGAGGAAGGAGGAGGAGGGAGGAAGAAGAAGGAGGAGGGGGGAGGGUGGUGGCAACGGUGAAGGAGGGAGGGGUCGUGGCGGCAACGGAUGGUGAUGGAUGAGGUGGUGAGUGGUUGUGAUAAAAAAAUUUUUAAUAAAAUUUUUAAAAAUAUUCCAAUUAAAUUUUAAAUUUUAAAAACACCCCAAAUACAUUUACAUUUACAGUGUCAAGUUUUUAUAUACAUCGUUACAGAAAAAGUUUUUAACAAUACUCCCCAAAAACACCAAACUCGUACGGCCAAGGACAUGAAAUUAAAGUCUUAGUUACUAAAAGCUUAGAAUAGGUUGGUUUCUCACUUGAAUUCUUGAGGACCUUGGUAAGGCACACAGCCCUGAGACUCCAGUUGCAUGGAUAAUGUUGAAGAGGUGGCUCUCCAAUUUCUAGCUGCAUUCACAAAUACUCGACCAAUUCUCAUAAAAGGGCUCUUCUCCUCACUAUUGACGCUAAACCGGUAGGUGACAGUUCCGAGCAAGAACAAGAUAAGUCCAAAACCCAUUACAAGGCAGGGAAUCGCAAAUCCAAGGCUCCAACUUAAAUUAUCUUGAAUGUAGGUUAAAAUCACUAAUGCGACCAAAAUAGCCGAGCACAUACCAAAAUACCACCAGUUGAAAAACGAGCUUUUGGCUUUGCAUUCUUCUGGAUCUUGUCCAUCAAAUUGGUCGGCUCCAAAAGCUUGUACGCAAGGCUUAUGCCCUCCUUGGGCCACAGCUAUUAGAUACAAUGAAAAGAAGCAGAAAAUGAUUGGGAAUUCAGAAGGUGAACAUGUCACAGCGUUUUCUGCAUUUUGACACCCAGAUGAGUUGAAAGAGGGAAGAACUGUUGAAAGGGUCAAGAAGCCAAGUCCCUGUGAUUCACAGCAAUGCAUGGCUUAAGAAAUUGUUAUCAAAAGAAAGUAAGGCAUUGUUUGGACAGCAAUUUUUCAAUACGUUUUCCGUGAACACAUUUUUCAAUCAUCUCUUUACCUCGCAUAUAUCAAAUUGCUACAGUAAUUUUUCUACAAAAAUUCAGAAAAAUGAAAUUCAAACAAGGCCUAAGUUUUUGUUUGAGUAAUGGCCAUUUCUCUUGAUUAAGUCAAAUAUUUGAAACUGUAGCAUGAAGUUCACUUCAUAAUUUUUCUGUUCUUCAGUUAGUUCUCCUUUCAAUUGUUAUCUUUUUUAUCUUGAGAUUUGAAGGAUCAUCGUCUUACAUCAGAAUUAAGCUCGUUUAUUAAUUCUACCACUAAUAUGGAAUUAUGUGGCUAUAUUUAACCCAUGGACUUAUUCUUAUUCAUAGUUGAAACAUCAGCUAGGCUGAAAGAUCUAGAGCAUUAUAACAUCAAAACAAAAUCAGAAGUUAAGGAACAGCAUAAGGAUCGUCAAAGAGGCUAAAACCAUCGAAUAGUUUCCGGUAGGAAAAAUCUAUUUAUCCAAACUCUUCACUUUAUCUUGUCAUACUCGUGUUCUACUCUUCAUUUUGCACUAGAAUAAUAGUAUAGAUAGCACUCCCAUAGAUGAGUGCGAGAAAUAAAGGAGGAAAUAUGUUCACUUCUCCGAAAAUGCUACAAAUGGCUCCAAUUGUUUAGCUUCUUUUGUUAGCUAUUCUGUUUAUGUUCAUAAUUGUUCAACAGAUUACCCUUCUUUUUUCCCCUUUUUGAGCAAAAAUCAACCUUUUAUAAAAUAGAGCAAGAAAGCUUACACAUUGCAGCAAUGAGCAGCCUUUACAUCCUACUGUCACCCAUACCUAUAUAUACAAAGAACUACAAAAAUCUACAAAACACCUAUGUACUCGUGAGCAAAAUACUUGUGUGUAAUCCCCCAAUCCUUGAUGAAGCUCCAAUUUACUCUUGACCUCGGAAUUCCGCGCCAAGUAGCACCAACAUAUCUCACUUCAGUAACUAUACUCCUUAUAAUACGUAAUACCAAGGGGAGUAACGUAGGCUUGCUGGAACAUCACCUUAUUUAGUUAUUUCUACUAUAAGCAUGGUAGUCAACAAGCUUAUGCUUGACUACAUUCACCUCCCCUUCUUGGAUGUGCUUACUAUUAUCUAAUUCAAACAAACCCUCUCCCUCAUCUACCUCCUCUCCUCUCCACACACACACACACACACAACCCCCCCCCCCCCAAAAAAGAAAGAAAAUACAUCUGAGUUUUUAAAGAAAUAGAUGUCAUAAAACCAAGCUUGAACCCCUCCAGUCCAUUUGGCCCACAUACCCAUCAAACUAAUGGUUAAAAAAAAAAAAAAAAAAAACCGUAGUGGUGCCGAAAGACUUAUUUUAACUCUAGCUUUGUCCUUCUCAAAAUGCAGUGUACAAAAUGCAAAAAUGUCUAAUUCUUUUAUAUAAUAUGUAAUGUAUUAUAUUAUUAAUUGAUAGUUAGCAUAAAGUGACUAAUCUUAAGAAAUCUAGUGUGGCCAAUAAAAUUUGUCAAACUAACCAAAGUUAGCUAGUGAAUUCACUUAUAUAUGUUUCCUUGAAAAGCAAAAAUUAGAAUUAGCAUUUUCACUUAUUUUAUUGGCUAGCUGAAUAACUAAUGUUAGUGUUUCACGAAAUCAUAUGCAUAAUUUGUGAGUAUUAAAUUGCAGUGUACGUAUUUAAUAUCCAAAAUAAGCUACAUAAUUACAAAUCAUCCAAGAGUGAGUUGAUAAAUCAAUCAAAUAAAAGAGUAGUAGUACAAGAUAAAUCAAAUUUAGUAAAGAAAGAAAUAUUCUAAGUUUAUUUUUCUUUAUUCUUCUUUUCUCAUAAUUAGCUCUUUUCACUCUUAAACACAUUCAACUAAUUGGCUAUCCCUUCCGUAUUAGUCUCAAUCUAAUAUGGUAUUAGAUGUCGUUUUAAGCAAGUAUUAUCUUCUUUCUUAUUUUUUUCGAUUUUGCUUCAAUUGUUUCUCAUUAUACAUGGAUUUUGGUUAAUUUAAAGUUUAGCGAGUACCCCUAAUUAUUUUAUUUGAGGGGAUGCAAUACGUAAGUUUUGUCGUUUGAGGGGCACAAACUAUUAAACUAUAAUUAAAGUAAGAUACAAUUAGUAAUAAUUUUAAACUACAAAAGAGGAUUUUAAAUAUUUGCGGAGAACAAUUGUCCACCGUAAAAUGUUUAUAGCUCCACGAUUAUAAUUGGGAAAACUUUGCUGUGGCACGAUAUGACAGGUGCUGUCAUGCUGUGACAACAUAUCAAUUGACACGACGUACAGCAUAGAAAAUCCGAGCAUCUUUUCAAGCUCAUUAAGAGUUGAAAAAUCGCAUCCCAAAUAAGAGUAAAGUAAAGAAGGCGCCUUCCAAAGAUAGAGCACAAAGUAUAACUAUAGAGUUACUGUUAAACAGCAGUAGAAAGUUCAAGUUCAACUAACCAUGAUAUACAGCAAUGAAGAGAUUAUGACGGUCCAAUAUUGACCCAGAAACGACUCGGCGACGAAUGCACCCAAGAGCGGCAGAAGCAGCGCUGUACCGGACAAAGCAUUCACGUUCUCCGCUGCCGUAGCAGUGGACUGGCCGAGUGGCCCGGUCAAGUAACUGAUCAAAUUCGCACUUAUUCCGUGAUGAGCAAACCUCUCUGCCAUCUCCACACCUGCAUUAAAAACAAAUAAUUAACCUGCAGUAUUUCAUUUUAUCAUAGUACGGUGAGGAUGUUAAUCCUUUAUGUUAUGAUGGUUACUUCACCUAUGAUGAAAGCUGCGGAUUUCCAGCGGCCGGAUUGGGACCGGUUGGCAGGGCGGCCUUUGUAGUCGACAUUUCCUUCGACGACGACAAUGUUGUUUGGUAACGUCGGAGUGUCGCUGGCGUCGGAAAGGUUGGCCUGCGGGGCUGUAUAGAUUGCCAUGCGUGGAGUGGAGUAACUGUGCCGAACUCACCGAACUUUGGCUUCAGUUUCUACGUUGAAGCUUGUCAGGAACACUAGGUAAAGCGACGUAGCUUUGGGGAAUGCGGAGUCGUUUUGAAGGCAGCUCAGACUUCUGGCACAUACGGUGUCGUUGCACUUAAGAAGUUAGUUGGGAAUUCUGUUGCAGUUUGUUAUAGUUAGUUGCAUGGUUAGUUGUCAGCUUCAGUCACGUUGCAUGGAGGUGUAGGAAAUUUCUAUAAAUAGCCAAGUAUAGGAAAGGCUUGGCAGACAAGAUUCAUUACAGAAAUAUUCUCAAUAAGAUUUCCCUUACUUCCCUCAUUUUCUCUCAAUUCAUGUUCUUCCCUUCCUAUUUCCCUCUUAUUAUUUCUUCUUCUGAGAAAUUAUCAGGUUAAAUCCUGACAAGUGGUAAUCAAAGCCUUCAAUCCUCGGUGCAACUUAACUGCAAAUUCAAAUGGCAGACGGUACCAGACUCAAGAAUCUAGAUGAACAGCUCCGGAAACUUGAGACUAGGGUUCAGAUUCAAGUAGAUUCCCUGCAAACGGAGUUACAAGACGCUCGAACGCACGUAGAUACCAAAAUGGACGAGCUCGACAAGAAAAUUGACGCGUUAAUGGCAGGAAUGGAGACGAAGUUGACUUCAUUUCUGCAGGCUCUCAACAGAGACAGAACAACAGCAACUGGUGAUUCGCCUCCCCCAGAGAAGAAUCCUCUACUGACCAAUCCACAUGCCAGAUGCAGAGACUGGGGAGAUCAGUCAGCAGCAGGCAAGGAGCGUAAGGUUACGAUCCCAAGCUUACCUAAAGUAGAACUUCCUUUUUUUGAAGGGGACAGACCUCAGGAAUGGAUCAGGAAAUGUGAGAAGUAUUUUCUGGUUCAUCAACUUCCUGAGGAUCAGAAAUUGGAAGUAGUGGAGAUGUAUUUGGUAGGGAAAGCCGAAAUAUGGUUUCAAGGAAUUAAAAGGAGCAAGGGACGAACCUCUUGGGAAGGAUUCUGUCAACUAGUCAACAGGAGAUUUGGAGACAGAGAGAGGAGAGACGAAGUGGAGGAAUUCAACAAGCUUCACCAAACCACUAGUGUCAAGGACUACCAAGAGAAAUUUGAGGAACUGAGUUCCUUGAUGUUAAUCAGAGAUCCUCACCUAUCUGAAUCCUACUUUGUUUCCAGCUUCAUCAGCGGUAUUAAGGAAGAGAUCAAGCCUAUGGUUAAAAUGUUGAAACCUGCUACCUUACUUGAGGCCUUCGAGAUUGCAGAAUGGCAGGAACAGUUAUUGGCAUUCAAUGGGAGGAAUACCAGAAACUUUAGGACUUGGGAGCCUGGGGAAAGCUCCAAGUCCCACAGUGCUACCGUUGUAACCAAACCAGGGGGGAAAAUUUCAGAACAAGUUGGCCAAAGGAAGUGGACUCCAGAGAGUACAAACCAGGAACAUAGGAAGAUCUCCCCUCAGGAGAUCUUACGCAGGAAAAACAAUCACCUGUGCUUCAAGUGUGGGGAGAGAUUCAGCCCAGGUCACCAGUGCAAAUACAGACACUUAAAUUUCAUUCUAGAAGAGGAUGAGGAAACUGAAUUUUUGGAUGCCAUUGGGGAGCAGGAUGAGCAGACUGGCCAUCCAGGGCAAUCCGUGGAUAUAUCUCUACAUGCAUUAACAGCCUCUAUCAAGAGAAAAACCCUCAAAUUGCAAGGGGUGUUGAAGGGACAAACGGUAUCUAUUCUGGUGGAUACUGGUAGCACUAACAGUUUUCUGAAUGCAGCUUUACUGGAGACCAUGGAGCUAAGGACAGCUAGUAUGACACCCUUAAAGGCAACCAUUGCUGAUGGAACCACUAUUUCCAGUGAAUUGUUCUGUCCACAUGUAACCUGGAGUAUCCAGGGGUACAACUUUAAUUUUCCUUUGAUAGUCAUGGGACUGGGAACGUGGGAUCUCAUACUUGGAGUGGAUUGGAUGGUGCAGUACAGCCCUAUCACUUUUGAUUUCCAACAGCUGUUGAUCAAGCUAUCAGAAGAAGGGGGCGAGAUGGUAUUGGAAGGGGUAGCUGAGCAACCUUCAAUGAAGCUUAUCAGAGGUAAAGCAGUAAGGAAAUUCAUGCAGCAGAAGCACAGGACCAGGCCAACCGUCUGCUCUGUGUCUGAGGGAGGUAACUUGAAUGGCGUAAGUCCACUUCCCAGUGAGAUUUCUGAAUUAUUGCAUGAGUUCUCAGAUGUGUUUGUUGAGCCUACACAGUUACCACCAGAACGAGCACAUGACCACACCAUCCCACUGAAACCAGAUGCCCAGCCUUUUAAACUCAGACCCUAUAGGUACCCACAUUCCCAGAAAACAGAGAUCGAAAACCAAGUCUCAAACAUGCUUCAAACUGGCAUCAUUAAGCCUAGUACCAGUCCAUUCUCUUCCCCUGUCUUACUGGUCAAGAAGAAGGAAGGCACCUGGCGUUUCUGUGUAGACUAUAGGUACCUAAAUGACCUUACCAUUAAAGACAGAUAUCCCAUUCCAAACAUUGAGGAGCUCUUAGAUGAAUUGUUUGGCUCCAAGUUUUUCAGUAAAAUCGACCUCAGGUCAGGAUAUCACCAAAUCAGAGUCAAAGCCUGUGACAUUCAUAAAACAGCUUUCCAAACACACCAAGGCCACUAUGAAUUCCUAGUGAUGCCCUUUGGCCUGACUAAUGCGCCUGCAUCUUUCCAAGCUCUCAUGAAUGAAAUUUUUCAGCCAUAUCUUAGAAAAUUUAUCCUUGUCUUCUUUGAUGAUAUACUAGUCUAUAGCCCGGAUUUACAAUCCCAUGCUAACCAUUUGAGAACCGUGUUAAGAAUUUUGAAAUCUCACCAGCUGUAUGCCAAGAUGUCUAAGUGUAUGUUUGCUCAGCUGAGAGUGGAAUACUUGGGCCAUGUCAUAUCCUACAAUGGGGUUGAGAUGGAUGCUGCGAAGGUGGAGUGCAUUAGAGCAUGGCCAGUACCUGCAACUGUGAAAGCCUUGAGAGGUUUUUUAGGCCUUACAGGUUAUUACAGGAGGUUUGUACAAGGCUAUGGGCAAAUCUGCAAGCCUUUGACUGAGUUGUUGAGGAAAGACUCUUUUUGUUGGACUGAAUCAGCUGCUGAAGCUUUCCAGAACCUUAAGGAUAUCAUGAGCACUACUCCUGUGCUCAGGAUGCCUGAUUUUACUAAACCGUUCGUAGUAGAGACUGAUGCCUGUAGUCGAGGCAUUGGUGCCGUGUUAAUGCAGGAGGGACAGCCUAUAGCAUAUCUCAGUAAGGCUUUAAGUCCUAAGAAUUUAGGACUGUCCAUAUACGAAAAGGAGCUGCUAGCAGUUGUGAUGGCAGUGACGAAAUGGAAACAUUACUUGCUGGGGUACCACUUUGUUAUUAAGACUGACCAUCAGAGUCUGAGGUUUCUGCUAGAGCAAAGGUUGAACACUCCAUUACAGCACAAGUGUUUGACAAAGCUCCUAGGCUUGGAUUACGAAAUUCAGUACAAAAAGGGGGCUGAAAACAAAGCUGCUGAUGCAUUGUCUAGGAAGGGGUUUCCAGAGGAAGACUCUUCAGGUGAAAUUUGCGCCAUCACUUGUGUCAAACCCCAAUGGCUGACAGAUGUAUCUGAAAGUUAUGAAGGUGACUCAGCAUGUCAGGACAGAAUUGCCCAAUUACUGGUCGACCCCACUUCGGUUACUGAUUAUGAGUACGCAGAUGGAGUUCUGAGGUUCAGGAAAAAGAUUUAUGUGGGGAGUCAUGGUGAUCUGAGGCAUCAAGUCAUUCAACAGCUACACUGUUCUGCAGUAGGGGGUCAUUCUGGACAGUUGGGAUGUUUUAAGAGGCUAGGUGCAGUUUUCUAUUGGCCUCGGAUGCGGAAGGAUGUAGCUGACUUUGUCAAACAGUGCGAUGUUUGCCAAAGGAACAAACAUGAGAAUGUUCCCUAUCCUGGGUUGUUGCAGCCCCUACCAGUGCCUAACCAAGCGUGGUCUCAGAUUAGUAUGGAUUUCAUAGAGAGUUUACCUCUCUCUGAAGGUACCGACACUAUACUGGUGGUGGUAGACAGGUUGACAAAAUUGUCCCAUUUCAUUCCUCUUAAACACCCUUUCUCAGCAGUAGAGGUUGCCAAACUGUUCCUCACACACGUCUUCAGAUUGCAUGGGCUACCAGAGGUUAUAGUUUCAGACCGAGACAAGCUUUUUACCAGCCUUUUCUGGCAGGAAUUAUUUCGACUAGUUGGUACUCGAUUGAACUUCAGCUCAGCUUACCAUCCACAAACAGAUGGUCAGAGUGAGCGUGUCAACCAGUGUUUGGAAACAUAUCUGAGAUGUAUGACUAGUGACAGGCCUCAGAAGUGGAAAUCCUGGCUACCUUUGGCUGAGUGGUGGUACAACACAAAUUACCACACUAGCCUUCAAACGACCCCCUUUGAGGCCCUUUAUGGUUAUAAGCCUAAUCAUCUACCCUUGGGCUUCAUUUCUGAUACCAUUGUCCCUGCAGCUAGUGACCUUGUCAGGGAUAGGCAGGCUGUCUUACAGAUUCUUCGCCAGAAUUUGACGCAGGCGCAGCAACGCAUGAAGUAUUUUGCGGAUAGAAAGAGGAGUGAACGAGCUCUGGAGGUUGGUGAUAUGGUCUACCUGAAGCUUCAACCUUAUCGACAGCAGUCAGUAGAAGUGAGGCGUUCCUUGAAACUUGCCUCCAAGUACUAUGGUCCCUUCCCUGUCAUUGCUCACAUUGGGGAAGUAGCUUACCGACUGGAAUUGCCACAGGGAUCCCGAAUUCAUCCAGUGUUCCACAUUUCGAUGCUUAAAAAGAAGGUAGGAGGUUCUCAGGAGGUCAUGCCUGCACUACCACUGGUUGGUCCUGAUGAUCAAAUUCAGGUUGCUCCGGAAAUGGUUCUCAAACGAAGGGCUAUUCUGCGAAAUCAAUUACCUGUGUCACAGGUUCUGAUCAAGUGGAUUAACCUGGGGUUCGAGGAAGCCACCUGGGAGGAUCUCGACUUCAUCAAGAACCAGUUUCCAGAAUUCCAUCCUUGAGGACAAGAAUGCGCUAAAGGGAAGGGUAUUGUCAGGAACACUAGGUAAAGCGACGUAGCUUUGGGGAAUGCGGAGUCGUUUUGAAGGCAGCUCAGACUUCUGGCACAUACGGUGUCGUUGCACUUAAGAAGUUAGUUGGGAAUUCUGUUGCAGUUUGUUAUAGUUAGUUGCAUGGUUAGUUGUCAGCUUCAGUCACGUUGCAUGGAGGUGUAGGAAAUUUCUAUAAAUAGCCAAGUAUAGGAAAGGCUUGGCAGACAAGAUUCAUUACAGAAAUAUUCUCAAUAAGAUUUCCCUUACUUCCCUCAUUUUCUCUCAAUUCAUGUUCUUCCCUUCCUAUUUCCCUCUUAUUAUUUCUUCUUCUGAGAAAUUAUCAGGUUAAAUCCUGACAAAGCUCUAAUUGUUGGCUCGGACUGGGUUUAUUAUUGAGUAGGCUAAGAUACACCUGCACGUUAACGAACAACGGUCAAAUCUAUCGGUAUUUUGGUGGCAGUGGCACUAAUUAUUGGUUGGACUAAUAACAGGAGAUUGUUGUUUUUUUUUUCCUUGUCAAAAUAAUAACAGGAGAUUCCACCGAUGCUGUGGUGUUAUACAGUAAGAUUAAAAUCAUCGUUGAACGAUGAAAUAAGUGUUUUACACCCUUGAAUUUUAAUAAUUUCAAAUAUUUAAAAUGUAAACUGCUAUCAUCAUCGUUGAGGGAAUGGUUUCUCUAAAGAAAUUAUAGAAUUUUCUUAAUUUUUUUUUAUACUAGUGAUGGAUCACGUUCUUCGGACGUGAACAUGAUGCUUUUAGAUUUUUUUUAAAAAAAAAAAUUUAAAAAUCAAUUGUUUUGAAAUAAUAAAUGUAAUUGAGACAAAAACAUGUGAUAUUUAAUAUUUCUAUUUUUUUUUUCUAAACUCGGUUUGCCAUAACCAACAUAAUUGCAGAAGCAAUAAAAGCAUUCUCUGUCCCAAAAGCACUUUUAUUUUGUAAUAGUAUCAAUAUUUUUAAUCUUUUAUUUUUAACCCUCCUACAUUUAAAAAUUAUAUAUAAUCCUCUCAUGGUUUGGGUUAAUGUAUUACCAUUAGUUUUUUGUUAAAAUUAAUGGUCAAUAGUAAAAAAUCAAAAUCAAAUUAAUAAAUUGACAAAUUUAUCCUUUCAUUACUUCUUUUUUCCUCCAAAUAUAAAAAAAAAAAGAAAUUAAAAAAAUAGAUAACUAAGAACUAGAAAAUACCAUUAAAGAUUUGGUUUAAAAACCUAUAGUAAUAUUUGCAGUCAAAAAAAUUUUCUAUUUUUAUUUAUUUAUUUUAUAUUUCCCUUCCAUCUUUUUUGUUUCUUAUUUCCUCUCCAUCUUUUUGGCAUUUGGAGAAAAUUAAGAUUUAUAGGCCAUAGUAUAGAUUUUCAAAAUCAUCUUUUUUCUUAUAAUAACAACAGAGAAAGGGAGGGAAAGAAGGAAAAGGAAAAAAGAAAAAAAGAAAGAAAGUAGUACAAGAGUGAAUUUGUCAAUUUAUUAGUUUGAUUUUGACUUUUUACUAUUAAUCGCUAGUUUUAACGGAAAAACUAAUGAUGAUAUUUGACCUAAGGAAGUUAUCUAAGAUUUUUAAUUCAUAGGAAGAUUAUCUAGUAGAGCACCAAAUCACAGGGGAUAAAAGAUAAUUUAUCCAAAAGUAAAUAACUAACUUGUUUUUGAUAUUAUUGUACUAUGGUUAGGAUUUCAAUCUUUUAUGAUGGUCACUUCACCUGUAAUGAAAUAAGCGGAUUUCCAACGGCCAGAUUUGGAUCGGUUAACAGGGAGGCCUUUGUAGUCAACAUUUGCUUGGGCGACGUCGUCUGGUAAUGCUGGAGCUUCGAUCGCGUCGGAAAGGUUGCCCUCUGUGGCUGUGGAGGCCCAUAUGUGAAGUAGAGCAACCGUGCUCAGCUAGCUAAGAUCACUAGACUUGGGAACUUGGGUUUAGUUUCAAACGCGCAAGCUAUUAUUGUUGACGGUUGAAAAUAUUUAGGGAUUAUUUGAGAAACCUCCCUUGAGGUUUCUAACAGUCUCACUCCCUUCCCUUAAGAUUUCAAAAAUAUCAGAGACCUCCCCUAAUAGAAUAUUGGGUCUCAAUUCUUACAUCAUCAUGAGUGAAAUGACUCAAAUACCCACAUAACUUAGCAAAUAGUUUGCAAUUAUUUGGACAAAUUUACUUAAGUUAAUUAUAAAUAUGAUUAAUGUAGUUGACGACAAUUUAGAAGUGCAAUAUGGACCUAUUCUUCCCUUUGCAUUGCUAAAUGUCUUCCUUCUCUUUGGUUACUCACAUCUUCCUCUUCAGAACCUUCAUAUUAUUCAAAAAAUCUAUAAUUUGUGCAGCAAAAGUACCGCUUGUGUAGAUUCCAUUCACUCUCAAAAAUUUUAAUUCUCGCUUGGCGAUUACAUCAACAAUACCUGUUUCUAAUUGUAAAUGAUGUAGGUGAAUUCCAAAAUUCACCUCUAUUGCUUCAACUGGCAAUUUAUGUGUGUGUUUGUUGCUACUACAAUUGCAUACUUCAUUUGCUGCUAUUACUUUUAACUCAUCCAACACCAAGCACUUUAAUUGCAUAGAGGCUGAUACACAGAGUCCUAUCUUGCUGCUUCAUUUUGCUCUUAUAAAUAGUUUGUCGAAAUGGCCAUUGCACGUAGAUGUUAAAAAUGACAAGCAGAAACAACCGUUGGUUUCCACGUGUCAAACUGAAGUUCAAACCUUCCUUGAGCCAUUAGUUCCACUUACAAUCCUGAACCUUCAUUCUUGUUAAAUUGUCCAAGUAUUGUUCAUAUGAAAUUAUCUCACUAAUGCAAGACUUGAGGGCAUUUGUGGUAUCAGGCCAUGUUCUCUCUCCAAACCUCAAUUUUUUAUUGUUUCUCUUUUUGAAUUGGGUUGGAUUUGAUACUACCUAUUCACUUUUAGGGGAAGUCUUUGAUAUUUAGAAAACCUUAGGAGAGGACAGUGAGACUGUUAGAAACCUUAAGGGAAGUUUUUGAAAUUUUCCCAAAUAUUUAUUGAGUAGGUAAGAUACUCAGACAUGGUAACGAGCAACGCUAAAAUUUAGGGUAAAAUACCCAAAAAAAAAAAACUCUUUGUGGGUUGUUGAAUGUUCAAUUUAAUUCUUUCUGAUUUGGAAACCUACACAUAGUUCAUUGUGAUUUCGACUAAAUUGAAAAUUGGACGGAAGACAUCCAAUUUGAUGAUUGUGCAUGAAAUGUCAAUAUUGCCCCUACAAUACAUGAAAUGCUUUCCGUUCAAUUUUCAAUUUAGUCAAAACUACCCGGAGCUAUAGUGUAAAUCUUCAAAUCGUAAGGAAUUAAAUUGAACAUUCGGCAAAUCACAGUGAGUUCAUUUAGAUAGGGGCAAUAUUGAAAUUUCAUAUACAACCAUUAGAUUGAAUGCUUUUUGUCUAAUUUUCAAUUUAGUUGAAACCAUAGAAAGUUAUAGCGCAGAUUUUUAAACCAGAGAGAGUUAAAUUGAACAGUUGACAAAUUACAGGGAGUAUUUUGGUGGCAGCAUUUCUAGUUUGGGAGCAUCACGGAAGUUACAGACAAUUUCUAGCCACUCAUUCUAAUUUGGGUGCCCGGACUAGUAGCUUGUCCGGGAGCAAUCGUCUUGGUUAUUUCACAUUGUCUUCUCUUUGCCCUUUUCUUUUACAUUUUACAUGUUCCCAACUCUAUAAUUCUUUGCCCUGCCCAUCUCUACUCUGCUCCAAUUCCAUUCUCCUUAAUUAAGAGAAACUGGGAGUCAGGCAACAAAAAGGAGCAGAUAGGUAGAAUCUAGUGGAGGAAAAAAAAAAAUUCUAGAUCUUUGAAUAAUUAAGUAUAAUUAACCAACUACUCUUAUCCAACUACUUUAAGAGUAGUUGGCUAGCAAGAAGAGUUUCAAGACUGUCCAUAGGUGUAGGUCAAUUGGUCAAAUCUUUUGACCUGCAUUCUUGUUAAGGAUUUUCUGAAAAUUUCACAAGUAGGUACAAAGAUACUCGUUUGGUCCGGUAGCGGUUUAGUUUCUUCCGAAUUCUCCAUCGAUCCCUUUGAAAAACUCUCUUUGGAUAUAGGUCAAUGAAUCGAAUCUCUUGAUCUGCAUUCUUAUCCAAGAUUUUCUGAAGAUUUCACUAGCAGGUGCAAAGACAUUCGUUUGGUACGAUAAAGGUUCAAUCCCCUCUGAAUUCUUCAUUGACUCCCUUGGAUCCAUCACUUCCUCUUAAUGUAAAGUAGAAAUAGGUGUCAAAUAAAAUUUCUCAUGUUUGGAAAAAAUGAAUAAUUAAGUAUAAUCAAGGAGCUAAAUUUGCUAAAUUAAUAAAACUGUCUUGAUAAGCGUAUGUGAGUGUGAAACUCACAGCAUGUGGCAUCCUAUUGCUGUUCCUCAGGAUAAUGGUUAGCCUUAACAAACUAACACUUGACAUCAAUGAAAAUUCUACAAAAUGGUAAGAGAUUUCCGCCAUUUGAUGGUAAAAGUCACGUCGAUUGAUAUAUUGAGGACUUGUAAUUGAACACGGAACUCAAUGACAUCGAUGGCAUAGAUUUUGAGGUGACACUGCCCCAAUUGCACAAUGGUACCGGUACAAGUUGCAAUAUUGCAGAUCCUAAAGUAGAAGAAAUGGAAAACAAAAUAUUAAGGAAUAGCUUUGACUGAAAAAGGUAAUUAACAGGCCUAAUGAUUAGACAACUUGUCAAGUUCAGUAGGAAUGCAUCGCAACUUAAUGCAUGACAACUUAAUUGGGCCGAAUCCAUCCCACAAAGAUUGUGGAGUGGUUCUGGUUUGAGGUUCUCACCCGUAUUUCUAGUCACCAAUUAACUGGAUAAUGUUGAUUUGUAGACUCCACCUUAAAUUGUACUUUGUAUCAGAAUUUCGAUUACCUUUGAAUGUUAGUGAUGGGAUGAAGUUUUUUAUCUUUUUUCUUUUGAUAAAAACUAUUGGGAUGAAUUUUCUAAAGCAAUUGAGAGGAAAUUAAGUUGAUUUAUCAUGUAGUUAGUGAACGCAUUAGAGGAUGAUUAAGAAAAGGUACAAUUAGUUAUCAGCAGAAAAGGAAUGCAAAAUUUUGUUAUUUUGCAGAAGAUAAUUAGUGGUAGAUAUGCCUUGAAAAAAAUCCAAGUUAACAAAUACUGAAAAGAGAUUAUUAAUUAGAAGAGAAACUUAUUGAAACUGUUUCCACAUUGUUAUGCUUAAUUUGUAACAAAUGAAAGUGAGUAAUCGGGAUAAUUUGAGUUUGUGGUCAAUAGGAUCUAUUGUUUAAUAUGUUACGUUACUUGUUGCAUUUAUCUAUUAUAUGGUAAUUUGCGCUCAUAAUUCUGAUUUGGAAAAUAAAAGUAAAUGGAGAACAAAAUAUGCCAUUGAAUGAGUAAGAACUUCUAAAUUCUGUGACCUUGAAAUGUGCAAAACACUUUAUUCUUACAAAGUAACCCACAGAGUAAUUUUUCUAAGUGAAAUUUCAAUAGACAUAUUGGUAAAUUUAGUAAUGUUGGAAGAAGUUCAAUAUCCCCACCAUCCUGUGAUACUAAGUAGGCUUUGACACAAGAUUUGACGUCAGCCUCGUAUAAUACGCCAACAAUCUCUCAGGGUCAGGAAGAUUUUCUUUGAUGAUGGGCUCUUCCUUGAAAUUCUUGACCCAUGCGUGCAAGCUUGGUAAACGACUUGGUUCCAAAACCUUGAUCCCCACCAACUGUUCCAUGGGUUGAAUCCAACAGGCAAACCAGGCAAAUAUCAAGUCCACCAUAUUGAUCGAGUUGCCACCAAAAAACUUCUUGUCCCCAAGAGCUUGCUCUUCAAUAAUUUUCAGAAGGUCAAACAUUUGUUCUGCUGCCUCUUUCUUGCCAUCUCCUCCUCCCCAGAAGAGGGAUCUAACAGAACUACGUCCCUAAAUCAUGAUAAUUUUUUCAAAUCAUCAGAAGUUAGUUAAGCUAAUAUUAUUUUAAGUAAAAGAUUAACAUGAUCCUUUUUUUUUUUAAAUAAGAGCUUGCCCCAAAGCUAUCCAAUUCAAUGUUUUCUACAAUGUAAUCCUAUUCAAACCUGCUUGCUUGAAAAGCCAGAAGAUAAAAGGCUAUCUAGGAGUUUUGCGAGGAUGAGAUUACCUUGUCCGUUGCAAAAUUUAUCCAAAACCGAGCUACAGAUCUCUCAUAGGGAUCUUUUGGCAGCAGUGGGUUAUGGGGCCACACCUCUUCAAUAUAUUCAAGGAUUACAAGGGACUCAGAAAUGGGUUUUCCAGCAUGAACCAGCACGGGAACUUUCUCGUAAACUGGAUUGUAACGUAACAGCAACUCACUCUUGUUAGCCAGGUCUUCUUCUAUGUAAUCAUACUCGAUGCCCUUCAAUUUCAGUGCCCAUAUCACCCGAUAAACAAAGGGGCUUGGCCAAAAUCCAUGAAGCUUCACUUCGUUGUCCAUUUGAUCUUCUAGGGGAAUGGAGUGCCAGGCUUAAUUUUUCUUUAUAGGAGCAGUGAUAGACUAAUAAUAAUGCAUUUCAAUGUCAAGUUGUUUUUAAUAUUAUAAUAAAUGAUUGCUUUUCUUGCAAUAUUUCUAGUUUAGUCAGCAAUGGCGGCCUAACAUAGUCAACAAAGAUGAGGGUAACGAAAAAGCCAAAAGAUAAUCUUUGUUUAUACAGUCAUUGGAAGGUUCCAAAGACCAAUGUGUAAAGAUGAUUUGAUUCCUUAGAGGGGCAAUUCAAACAGUACUUUGAGGCAGACAUGUAAAGCCAUGUUUGUUCAAUUGUCACAACUAGCAAUGCCAAAAUUGAUUUCCACAGGUGAAUGAGUCAAUAAAGAUGGUAAGAUUGAGCUGCAAAAAGACAAAACAAGGUUCAAUGACGAAUCACGGACCAACAAAACCAAGGAAAAGGAAGGAAAUUCAAACAAUGCCCCUUUUGGGGCUCUUUAACCGCUAUCAGACUCGCUGGUUAUUGAGCAUUAAAAAUUUCAGCACAGUUUCAACUACCCCUCAAAAGUCUAACUCCAUCCUGCAAUCAAAGGGCAAUUAGCAGCUCAUCUUUGCCCUCUCCAUUGUGAAGCCCAAACAACUGAUAAAAGAUUGCGAAAAUCAAUGAACCCUUAGAACAAGAAAUGCUUCCGUGAAAUUGCAAACGAGCUGCACUGCAUUUGGGAUGACAACUUAAUUUUGACUGUAGCAAUUCAACCUCUCAGAUUUUUUGUCUACAAGUAACUUACCAUUGAUCCUGCUGGAGAGAUUGACUCCCAAUUUUUCCUGCAGUGUUCCUAAUUUGUAUCCCUUUUAGAAAACGCCAGCGAGAGUUCCUCAACUAUAGACAAAGGAUUGAGCAAAAUACAUGCAGGCAGUGAAUGCUAACAUGCAAAGUGCAGCAAGAAACCAAUAAGAGUAAUCCAAAUGUGCCCGAUUCAAGAAGUCUGCAAACCAACCGCCUUGAUCCCCUCCACUUGUGGCUUUCUGAAUGACACAGAUUAGAAAACUACUUAGGAAACUCCCUACUCCAAAGAUACUGAGGUAUAGAGACAUACCUAUACUUCUCAAGUCACCAGGAACCUGAUCAUAGAAAAACUCUCGUAAACCAACCAUUGUAAAUACUUCUACAAUCCCAAACAACAUAUAUUGAGGAGUCAACCAGAAUACGCUCAUUGGAACUGUAGCAUCUGGCAAAUGAACCAGCCCAUAUUCAAGAGCAGUUUCAAGACGUUACCUCUCAACUAAAGCAGCAAUCACCAUGUAAACCACAGAUAAUAAUAGGCCAAGCCCAAUUCUUUGACUUGAAGCGCUUCUAUACCCGAAGGUUUCGCAGUAAUAACUCUGGCAACAAGGACCAAAACCCGGUCAUAGAUAGGAAUGAAGAUGACAACUGAAACGUUGAUGAAAGAUUGUAGUGCAGCAGACGGUGCUUCAAAACCUGAGCCAAGUGAUCUGAAUCCUUUCUUGGUGAGGUGAAUGCUUGAACAAAUAUUACAGCAUAAGACAAACAUGUAAACCAUAUCAGAAUCAGUCUGAAAAUUGCUUUUGCAUCUUCAAGCUCACUUGUCAUGCAAACUUCCCCCUCAUCCUUGGAACAAUCAGGUGUGCAAGCAGUGCUUUGUUAAGAAACCUAUACCAGAACUCAGAUUCAGUGACGGUGCAAAUGAAAAUUUUAGUACUUUGCAGACAAAGAGCAUCUCAACACUAGGAUAUUUAAGGAAAAUUACUACUUCCCUUAGUGAACAUUUAAGGAAAAUUUCUCUCUCUCUCUCUCUCUCAACAAGACAAAAUCACCACGCUUCAGCAGAAAGGUCAAUUUGAAACAAGAAAAAAGUCAAGUAUGACUACAACUCAAAAUAGACAUAUUGCUAGAGGGUCUUCCUCUAUGUUUCAACUUCCAGAUGUUCUCCUUCUGAGUUCUUGUUGUAUGAGAUCAAACAACUUUAUCGAGAAAAUUAACUAUAACAUAAUCAGGUGAAAAGUACUCAUUGCAACUGCAUAUAUGGUAGGUAAUAACCAGACAUUUUAGCCUGCUUACUUGAAUUGUUGAGAACCUUGAUGAGACAGUGUUUCCCAAAUUUGCUCUUCACUCGGAACUCAACUUCGCCAGUUCCUAGCAGCUUUAACAACCCCAGAACCAAUUCCCACGAAUGGGUUUUUCUCAUCACUUUUGCUGCUAAAUCUGUAGGUCGUAGUUUGCAGCAAGAAAUUGGCUAGUGCAAAUCCCAUAACAUGGAUUUUGAUAAAUUUAAAGUUUAGCAAGUACCCCUAAUUAUUUUAUUUGAGGGGAUGCAAUACGUAAGUUUUGUCGUUUGAGGGGCACAAACUAUUAAACUAUAAUUAAAGUAAGAUACAAUUAGUAAUAAUUUUAAACUACAAAAGAGGAUUUUAAAUAUUUGCGGAGAACAAUUGUCCACCGUGAAAUGUUUAUAGCUCCACGAUUAUAAUUGGAAAAACUUUGCUGUGGCACAAUAUGACAGGUGCUGUGAAGCUGUGAUAACAUAUCAAUUGACAAAACAUACAGCAUAGUAAAUUCGAGCAUCUUUUCAAGCACAUUAAAAGUUAAAAAAUCGCAUCCCAAAUAAAAGAAAAGUAAAGAAGGCGCCUUGCAAAGAUAGAGCACAAAGCACAACUACGGAGUUACUGUUAAACAGCAGUAGAAAGUUCAAGUUCAACUAACCAUGAUAUACAGCAAUGAAGAGAUUAUGACGGUCCAAUAUCGACCCAGAAACGACUCGGCGACGAAUGCACCCAAGAGCGGCAAAAGCAACGCUGUACCGGACCAAGCAUUCACGUUCUCCGCUGCUGUAGCAGCGGACUGGCCGAGUGGCCCGGUCAAGUAACUGAUCAAAUUCGAACUUAUUCCGUGAUGAGCAAACCUCUCUGCCAUCGCCAUACCUGCAUUAAAACAAAUAAUUAACCUGCAGUAUUUCAUUUUAUCAUAGUACGGUGAGGAUGUUAAUACUUUAUGAUGGUCACUUCACCUAUGAUGAAAGCUGCGGAUUUCCAGCGGCCGGAUUUGGACCGGUUGGCAGGGCGGCCUUUGUAGUCAACAUUUCCUUCGACGACGACAAUAGUAACGUCGGAGUGUCGAUGGCGUCGGAAAGGUUGGCCUGCGGGGCUGUAGAGAUUGCCAUGCGUGGAGUGGAGUAACUGUGCCGAACUCACUGGUCAAGUUCAGUAGGAGUGCAUGUCAACUUAAUUGGCCCGAGCGUUGUUGGGAUGAAGUUUUUUCUUUUUUCUUUUGGUAAAAACUAUUGGGAUGAAUUUCUAAAGCAAUUGAGAGGAAAUUAAGUUGAUUUAUCAUGUAGUUAGUGAACGCAUUAGAGGAUGAUUAAGAAAAGGUGCAAUUAGUUAUCAGCCGAAAGGGAAUGUAAAAUUUUGUAAAUUUGCAGAAGAUAAUUAGUGGUAGAUAUGCCUUGAAAGAAAUCCAAGUUAACAAAUAUUGAAAAGAGAUUAUUAAUUAGAAGAGAAGCUUAUUGAAACUGUUUCCACAUUGUUAUGCUUAAUUUGUAACAAAUGACAGUGAGUAAUUUGAGUUUGUGGUCAAUAGGAUCUAUUGUUUAAUAUGUUACGUUACUUGUUGCAUUUAUCUAUUAUAUGGUAAUUUGCGCUCAUAAUUCUGAUUUGGAAAAUAAAAGUAAAUGGAGAACAAAAUAUGCCAUUGAAUGAGUAAGAUCGGUGAAGAUUGUCAUGCAUAAUUAAAAAGGUAUUUGCUAACAUAUUAGCAAAAUCCAUUUAACAUGGAUUUAAUUUAUAUGUGUUUCUAAAUUAUCUAGUGCCAAUUUGUAAAAAUCUAACCACUGUCAUCUCUUUAGAAUGAAGAAAAAUAUUUUUUAGUUCCCUAAAAUCACCUAAAAUAAAAAUUUAAACAUAAAUUCGAGUAAUUUUUUUUUCUUGCAGGGUAAGAUUAAAAAGUAGAGAACAAGAAGGGAGAUUUGAAUCCAAGACUUCUAAAUUCUGCAACCUGAAGACGUGCAAAACACUUUAUUCUUACAAAGCAACUCUGAGAACCACAUAGAGUAAUUUUUCUAAGUGAAAUUUCAAUAGACAUAUCGGUAAAUUUAGUAAUGUUGGAAGAAGUUCAAUAUCCCAACCAGCUAGUAAGGAUACCAUCCUGUGAUACUAAUUAGGAUUUGACCUUAUCCUCGUAUAAUGCUCCAACAUUCUCUCAGU
rnacentral:lncRNA from 1 species